UUAUGUCCCCAGCACAGGGACUCCGGUCACCAGCACAGCGACUCCAGUCCUAAGGACAGCGACUCCGGUUCCCACCAUAGUGCCUCCGGUCCCCAACACAGUGCCUCCAGUCCUCAAGACAGCUACUCCCGUCUCCAAAACAGUGCCUCCGGUCACCAACACAGUGCCUCCAGUCCUCAACACAGUGCCCCUGGUCACCACCACAGUGCCUCCGGUCACCAGCACAGUGCCUCCAGUCCUCAAGACAGCUACUCCGGUCUCCAAAACAGUGCCUCCGGCCACCAACACAGUGCCUCCGGUCACCAGCACAGUGCCUCCUGUUCUCAAGACAGCUACUCCGUUCCCCAACACAGUGCCUCCAGUCCUAAGGACAGGGACUCCGGUCUCCAAAAAGGGCCUCCAGUCACCAGCACAGUGCCUCCAGUCCUAAGGUCAGUGACUCCGGUCCCCAACACAGCGCGCCCGGUUCCCAACACAGCUACUCCCUUCCUCAGCACAGCGACUCCAGUCCUUAGGACAGGGACUACGAUCCCCAGCACAUUGCCUCCAGUUCUAAGGACAUGGUCUCCCAUCCACAGCACAGUGCCUCUGGGACAUCAUGAUAUUAGAAUCAAUGCAGUGUGGUCAGGAAAAAGUGGAUGUGUACUGAUGGCCAAAAUUGGGCCAUAUAAAAUCUUUACGAUGGACAUAGCAUGCCUUGCACCUGGCAGAGAACUCGAGAGCGAGGUUAUUAAUGCAUACAUUCUUUCACUUGUGAGGAAAUAUAACCAGUAGCAUGAGGGCAAGGCCUACAUGAUUGACAGCUUUGCAAUGACCAAAAUAUGGCAAGGGUCACAUAAAAUGUUAAGAAGGGUAUGGUAAUGUAUUCCAGACUGACACCAUGUCUACACUGGAUGCGACAAAGUGACCAUUGCAAAUCAUUUUAAUGUUGUGUCAGUACUUCAUAAAUAAAACGAGGCAGCAGUGUACUGUCAAGGAUUUGUUGUGUCGUGCCGAGUCCAGUGUAUACAGCAUCACUGAUUAUAAUGGUUUCUAUAGUAUUUUGUCGCAAAUGUAUUGCUUCCAUUCUGUAUUAAGGGGGGGUGAAAUGCUCGUUUUCACUCAAUAUCCUGUUAAUCUUGAGUACCUAUAGAGUAGUACUGCAUCCUUCAUAACUCCAAAAAGUCUUUAGUUUUAUUAUAUUUAUAAGAGAAAGAUAGUCUGUACCGAUUUUUCCCGGAAAAACACGACCGACUGGAGGCGUGACGUGUGGGCGGAGCUAAAGAAUCACGAGCGCCAGUAGGCUUUUGCGUUGAGAGCGUUUGGAAGUUGUGACAUUACCUUGAGAUAAAAAAAACAUCAUCCAAAACA
rnacentral:lncRNA from 1 species